CAAGUACUCCCUCCGUCCGGAAUUACUUGUCAUCAAAAUGGAUGUGUCUAGAACUAAAAUACAUCUAGAUACAUCCAUUUCAAUGACAAGUAUUUUUGGAUGGAGGGAGUACAAG
rfam:Triticum aestivum genome assembly, contig: Triticum_aestivum_CS42_TGACv1_scaffold_306866_4AS